rnacentral:rRNA from 1 species
UACGUAGGGAGCAAGCGUUAUCCAGAUUUACUGGGUGUAAAGGGUGCGUUAGGCGGCUUGGUAAGUCUAAAGUGAAAUUUCGGGGCUCAACCCCGGAGCUGCUUUGGAAACUGUUUCUCUUGAGUGUCGGAGAGGAAAGUGGAAUUCCCAGUGUAGCGGUGAAAUGCGUAGAGAUUGGGAGGAACACCAGUGGCGAAGGCGGCUUUCUGGACGAUAACUGACGCUGAGGCGCGAAAGCGUGGGUAGCAAAACAGGAUUAGAUACCCUGGUAGUCCCUGAG